AGCACUCAUCCUUAAUGGUUCAGGCAAAAGGGUCUGAAAAUUCUAGUCGUCGUUUCUUCAAUCGAGUAUCAUCACCUUGAACAAUUAGAUACUAUGUUGAACCUCCAUAUUUAACUUGGUGUAGAUAUGAAAUUGGCAUCUGCAAAAUGUAUCUCUUAAGUUAGAGAGGUAUAUUACCAAAGGAAAACAAAUCAUGAGGUAUAUACCUAUAUUUUAGCUAAAAUCCUGGGC
rnacentral:lncRNA from 1 species